rfam:Neotoma lepida isolate 417 scaffold_267, whole genome shotgun sequence.
GGAAAGAUGGCUCAGAGAUUAAGAGCACUGGCUGCUCUUCCAUAGGACCUGGGUUCAACUCCCAGUAUCCA